rnacentral:rRNA from 1 species
GACGAACGCUGGCGGCGUGCUUAACACAUGCAAGUCGAACGGAAAGGCCCUGCUUUUGUGGGGUGCUCGAGUGGCGAACGGGUGAGUAACACGUGAGUAACCUGCCCUUGACUUUGGGAUAACUUCAGGAAACUGGGGCUAAUACCGGAUAGGAGCUGCUGCUGCAUGGUGGGGGUUGGAAAGUUUCGGCGGUUGGGGAUGGACUCGCGGCUUAUCAGCUUGUUGGUGGGGUAGUGGCUUACCAAGGCUUUGACGGGUAGCCGGCCUGAGAGGGUGACCGGCCACAUUAGGACUGAGAUACGGCCCAGACUCCUACGGGAGGCAGCAGUGGGGAAUAUUGCACAAUGGGCGGAAGCCUGAUGCAGCAACGCCGCGUGCGGGAUGACGGCCUUCGGGUUGUAAACCGCUUUCGCCUGUGACGAAGCGUGAGUGACGGUAAUGGGUAAAGAAGCACCGGCUAACUACGUG